rnacentral:rRNA from 1 species
GACGGAGGAUGCAAGUGUUAUCCGGAAUCACUGGGCGUAAAGCGUCUGUAGGUGGUUCGAAAAGUCCACUGUUAAAAAUUGAGGCUUAACUUCAAAGAUGCCGUGGAAACUUUCAAACUAGAGUAUGGUAGGGGUAGAGGGAAUUUCCAGUGGAGCGGUGAAAUGCGUAGAUAUCAGGAGGAACACCGAUGGCGAAGGCAGGUCUCUGGGCCACUACUGACGCUGAGAAGCGAAAGCAUGGGGAGCGAACAGG